rnacentral:rRNA from 1 species
GACGAACCGAGCGAACGUUGUUCGGAAUCACUGGGCUUAAAGGGCUCGUAGGCGGCCAACUAAGUCGGAUGUGAAAUCCCCAGGCUCAACCUGGGAACUGCAUCCGAUACUGGAUGGCUUGAAUUCGGGAGAGGGAUGCAGAAUUCCAGGUGUAGCGGUGAAAUGCGUAGAUAUCUGGAGGAACACCGGUGGCGAAGGCGGCAUCCUGGACCGACAUUGACGCUGAGGCGCGAAAGCCAGGGGAGCAAACGGG